GACGAACGCUGGCGGCGUGCUUAACACAUGCAAGUCGAACGGUGAAAGCGGAGCUUGCUCCGCUGGAUCAGUGGCGAACGGGUGAGUAACACGUGGGCAACCUGCCCCUCACUUCGGGAUAACUCCGGGAAACCGGGGCUAAUACCGGAUAUGACCUCCUUGGGCAUCCUUGGAGGUGGAAAGUUUUUCGGUGAGGGAUGGGCCCGCGGCCUAUCAGCUUGUUGGUGAGGUAGUGGCUCACCAAGGCGACGACGGGUAGCCGGCCUGAGAGGGCGGCCGGCCACACUGGGACUGAGACACGGCCCAGACUCCUACGGGAGGCAGCAGUGGGGAAUAUUGCGCAAUGGGCGAAAGCCUGACGCAGCAACGCCGCGUGCGGGAUGACGGCCUUCGGGUUGUAAACCGCUUUCAGCAGGGAAGAAGCCGCAAGGUGAUGGUACCUGCAGAAGAAGCACCGGCUAACUACGUGCCAGCAGCCGCAGUAA
rnacentral:rRNA from 1 species